rnacentral:sRNA from 1 species
GGUUUGGUAAUCACACAAAACGGCUUCUAACAUUUUUUUGUCCUGUAAUUCUGCCGGGCUAAGUAGAGUUAACUUACGCAACUCCUGUUCAAUGACCCCUAAGUUAAAGGGUAGAAUCGUGGCUAAGUGGUCAAUUAAAUCAGGGUUUAAGUUGAGUUUGAGUGUCUUAGCGGCCUUACUGAUCACCUGGUGGAUGGUUUUAGCUGUGACUGGUUUACAAGCAUACUUGGUAAUUGCCCGGUCAUUAAUGAGGGCAUUAGCGGGACUGUCGCUGUAAAUGGUGACCACCACAUCAGUAUCUUUAAGUGUUUUUAAGCAGUGUAAUUCAGCCUUAGUUAAGUUGUUCUUUUCCAAAAAACUGCAGUUGUGAAUGAGGAUCGGUUUAGUGUCCUCAGCAAACAGAUUCUGGUUUAACACCACAUCAUACAGCUUAUUAACAUCUUGAAACCAGACCUGUUUACAAGCGGCUGGGUUGAGCAGUUGGUUUAACUGCUGGUGAAUUAACCCAAUAUCGGCACCAUAAACUACGGUCAUAGUAAAAGACUGUACCCACAGUAUACAACAAGCCCCACAGCCCAUAAUAAACCAGGUAAAACACCCAGUUAGGUUUGGGUAGAUUUAAAAAGACGGUCGUGUUUAAGGCUCACUGACUCAACCAGGGAAGUGGUCAGUAAAAACCGACCAAACUGUUGCCCAUUCAUGGAAUUAGCGGUAACAACAGUCAGCUAGCACAGAAGUAAAACAAGGCUAUGGGAGUAAACAAGAGGUUAUGAAACACACUUAAAGCGUUUAAUUUUCGAUUUAAGUGCAAAGUAAUCGGACUGACCACAAUGAGGAUUAAGGUGGAAGUUAACACCGCUUGCAGUGGCUUUCACAGCUUCACCUUAUUAAUGGCAAACAACACAAAGCACGCUAAAAAGGAAAAGUUAAAGCCAAAGUUGUGUAACGCUCCCGGACUCAUUAAGAUGAUUAACAGCGCCGUUAAGCCCAAAUUAUUUUCGGGUAGUUGCUUGGGAAACAUUUGCCGUAACAGCUUUGAGACAAAAACCCGUAAAGCUGAAAAGGCAAAUCCGACCAAAAAGAGGUACAGCAACAGCAUUACAAAACCCGUUAUUUUAUUGAUGUAAAAGCGCUUGUACAACCAGCGCUCCAUGACACCAAACAAAAAACUAAGGUGAAAACCACUAAUCACAAACAGGUGGACAAUAUUGAGCUGAAUGGCACUCUGAUACAGUGUGUUUUUUGUUGUUUCGUUAAUUAAAAACAGCUUUAAGUACUGAUUAAAAACACCACUAGUGUGUUGAUCUAGUCAACUAAUAAAAGGGGUGCGAAGUCAGUUCGCUUUCAUUAGUUUGGCUAGUUGAAACUCUGGCAUUAACUGACAGUAUGCUAGUAAAGCGGCACUACAACUGAUUAACAGUAAGCCAAACUUCCAGUGUACCGUUAAACUAAUUAGGUUAACUAUCACCAAAAAACUCGCUAAAAUUACCCACUGAUUUUGUUCGAUAAAGAAGUAAGCAGGGGUAAAGGUGAGUAACGUAAAAAAAUAAAACAGCUUUCACUUCAUGCUGUUUUAUUAAUUGGUUAAUUAGUUUAGAAAUGCCAAUUAAAACUCUUUACUCCAGCUGGAACGGAGCGGAAAGCGUUGAGACAAACCACCACGUAACGGUGAGCGGUAACGCGGGGUGAAACUGGUGUAAUUGCUCCCUAGAUCAAAGCGGUGCGUGUUGAAAAAGGAACUGCGGUUACGCCUUAAGCUCGACAAUUCCAAUGGUCUUCUAAGUGGGUAAAAGCUACUUGGACUGCGGUAAGCGCCAAAGCUGUUAAGGCUGUCGAAGUUCAAACUCGCUGGGUUGCGGUAGUUUACAGCCAUCGGUGUAACACCAGUAAACCGACUGGCAAUUGGUGUUGACUCUACUGUUGGCCGUGUAAAACGUGCUCAACUGUUGCGGAUUGCUGGAAGGUUAAACAGCGGUUCGUUGUACUUGGUAGCCACAUAUUCACUCGGUGGAGCUAACUGGUAGCGCUCGUGCGGUAAAGGCGUACGGGUAGAAGCAUCGUGGAGGUGACCCAAACUCGCUAGCUUUUCCAACAAUAAGGAACGGUUGGUGGUGUGAAUGGUAAUUGCACCACUUUCAUUAUUAACACAAGCUGACUGACACGGUUGUGGUUCCACUACCGAUGCAGGGGAUGGUUUUCAUUCCGGUUCGGGUUGUGUUGGACGGAUAAUUGGUUGGACUACCACUUCUGGUUGAACUACAACUGGUGGAACCGCAGGAGUUGUUUGGACUACCUUAGGUGUCACUUUAGGUGUAGCUACUUGAGGAGUAACUACUACCUGUGGUGCUGGCGUUGGUGUUACUACCUUCGGUUCUGCCUUAACAACUGGUUGAACUACAGCAGUUGGUUGGACAACUACUGGAGCAGGGGUUGGUUGUGGUGCUACUUUAGGUACAGCUGGAACAGGGGUUGGUUGGGCCACUUGGAGUGCAACUUUUGCUGUUACUACCUUCGGUAUUUCAACUUUAGGUGAGUCAACCUCAACAGUUACAGGUGUUGGUUGUGGUUGUUCCACUACCUUAGGCUCUACUUUAGGGGCAGGAGUAGCUUCUACCACUGGUGUUGGGGUAGGUUCCACUACCUUA